AUUGAACGCUGGCGGCAUGCCUAACACAUGCAAGUCGAACGGGGCAGCAAUGCCUAGUGGCGGACGGGUGAGGAACACGUAGGAAUCUGCCCUUAAGUGGGGGAUAACCAGGGGAAACCCUGACUAAUACCGCAUGAUCUCUUCGACGCAAAGAGGGGGACCACAAGGCAUCUCGCCUCUGGAUGAGCCGACGUCUGAGUAGCUAGUUGGAAGAGCAAAGGCCUACCAGGGCGACGAUCAGGAACUGGUCUGAGAGGAUGAUCAGUAACACCGGAACUGAGACACGGUCCGGACUCCUACGGGAGGCAGCAGUGGGGAAUAUUGGACAAUGGGCGCAAGCCUGAUCCAGCAAUGCAGCGUGUGUGAAGAAGGCCUUCGGGUUGUAAAGCACUUUAGCCUGGAAAGAAAAAACUUUGGUUAACACCCAAAGUCUUGACGGUACCAGGAGAAUAAGUACCGGCUAACUCUGUGCCAGCCGCCGCCGUAACAC
rnacentral:rRNA from 1 species